UCCUCUAUAGUGCUUCUCCUGACCCCCAUCUUGCAGUAGAACUAAUCCUGUUUUUUGAGAUCCUAUGUACUGAUUAGAGUUUAGUCAUAAUGCUUUUAUACUUGCUUUAUAUCUGACACAUCUCUCAUACCCAGUAAAUGCUUUCUGAAAAGGGUAAUAGCUAAAGGAAUGAUGAUUGGCACAAAGAAAAUGUCUAUUUUGAAAUAGAUAAUUGACUUAGUUGGCUUUGUUUAAUCCUGGAAGCCUGGUUUGCUACUCAUUGGCCAUGGAGAGGUAAUCUGAAAGUAUGGAUUUUUUGAGACACAAUUUCAAGCCCUAAAACUGUUUUCCUUUUUUUUUUUUUCUGUUUUUCUAGGAAACAUCUAGCCACUUGGAGACCUUGAAAGUCCCCCUCAAAGUUAUUCCUUUGUGCUGAAACGUGAAAGGAUCUGGUUAAUCUAAGAGUUGUAUGAAGAGCGGUGUGGUGCAGCUGCAGGAGCAUGAUCUAUGGCUCAGCAAGGAGACUGUCUUUGGGAUCUUCAAGAUGCAUGAAAGCAAAAGUUACUCAA
rnacentral:lncRNA from 12 species